CGAAACCACAGCCAAGGG
rnacentral:snRNA from 1 species